rnacentral:rRNA from 1 species
UGUAGUCAUAUGCUUGUCUCAAAGAUUAAGCCAUGCAUGUCUAAGUAUAAGCAAUUAUACAGCGAAACUGCGAAUGGCUCAUUAAAUCAGUUAUCGUUUAUUUGAUAGUACCUUACUACAUGGAUAACCGUGGUAAUUCUAGAGCUAAUACAUGCUAAAAACCCCAACUUCGGAAGGGGUGUAUUUAUUAGAUUAAAAACCAAUGCCCUUCGGGGCUCCCUGGUGAUUCAUAAUAACUUCUCGAAUCGCACGGCCUUGCGCCGGCGAUGGUUCAUUCGAAUUUCUGCCCUAUCAACUUUCGACGGCAGGGUCUUGGCCUGCCAUGGUGACAACGGGUAACGGAGGGUUAGGGCUCGACCCCGGAGAAGGAGCCUGAGAAACGGCUACUACAUCCAAGGAAGGCAGCAGGCGCGCAAAUUACCCAAUCCCGACUCGGGGAGGUAGUGACAAUAAAUACUGAUACAGGGCUCUUUUGGGUCUUGUAAUUGGAAUGAGUACAAUUUAAAUCCCUUAACGAGGAACAAUUGGAGGGCAAGUCUGGUAAUCG